GGGACCCGCCUGGAACCGCCAGAAUCGCGGUUCCGGAACCGCCAGAACCGGAACCGGGCGGUUCCGGAACCGUAUGGUAGCGGUUCCGGCUCCGGAACCGCCAGAACCGCCAGGACCGGAACCGCCAGAACCGCCAGGACCGGAACCGCCAGGACCGGAACCGCCAGAACCGGAACUGCAGACCCAAAUAGACCCAGAACGGAACCGGAUACAGCCUUAGUCUGACUGGUGCAUUUUUUGGAGUCUUCUUCUCCAAUUUUAUCCUGAAGACCUCCACAAAAACCAGACCUUCCCCUCCACCAACGCCGUUGCUUUCUCAGUCUUCACUCCCUCCCCUGUUCCUCCUCUUCAUUUCUCCGUGUAAAGACCCCUGUUCUUCUUCCUCACUUUAGAGCAGAAACACUCUCUUCUCAGCCAUGUAAUUACCCAAAUCCUAGCUCCAAAACUCCCGAAAUCACAACUGAAAAAUCCGUCACAAACUUUAGCCAUGAAACAAUCUUGAAAUAGUCCCAAAAAUCAUGUGAAGAUUGGCUCCUUCCUUACCAAUCUGUUUUUCUUUCUGUGUUUGAGAUUCCGGGUAAAGCCAGAGGUCAAAGUUUGAGGUUGCGUUCGAGUCUUCGUUUAUAUAGCUGUCCGAGCUUAGUUGUUGCUUAAUUUUUGAGAUUCUUGAGCUGUGUUGGUAUAAGAAUGUGCUGUUUGUUGCUGUCCCUGUGCGCCGAGUUUCCUUCUUCUACUCCUUACCUUUAUUUGGCUUUUGUCAUCCUGCUUGCCCCCUUGCAUUUAAGGUACACACAGAAUCCCAUUUUGUUGUGCUGAUUUGUGAGAUUAAUGUGUAACUCAAUUUUGCCUUUGUUUAUAAUCCUAUACUUGCUUGAGGAUAAAUUCCUACUUCUGUUAAGAUUUAGUUGUUUCAUGCAAUGGGGUAUAUAUUCUGAAUUUGUUCAUUGGGUUGCUGUGGUUUUAUUUAUUUAUUUAUUUAUUUUAUCUGUUUGGUUGGAGGCAAUUUUAAAGAAGUUACUUUCAAUAAUUUGUACUGCAAUGCGAAAUUGGUUUUGUUGAACUAUGUUUGAUUAUAAACAUUUUGAGCUAAUUAAAAGAAUAGAGCAAUGCCAACUUUAUAAUUAUUUGUUAUUCUUGUAAAGUUGAAAGUGCUGCCACGAGGUUGUGAUUUAUAUGCCCUUCAAACGGUUUCUGAAAUUGGAUAAUUAGUGUUGGACUUUCUAGUCCAAAAUUGUGUUGAAACAGCAACCUCAUUGAUUGGUGUUGGAAAUUAAAGCACUGACACUUUCUUUUAUAAUUUUUUUCUUGCUCACCUAGUUUUAGGUAAAUUGCACAUAAAUGUCAGGAUGCAAAUGAGAGUUCGUCGUUGGAAUUUGAAGAUGACCAGCGGCAUAUCCGGUGAUCUAAGCAGAUUGAAAUUAAUAUACGUAGCUAAAUUAUAUCCGCGAAUAUUUGUUGUACUUUGAAGAACUGUUAACACAAUUUUUAUGCAUAUCUGAAUUUAGUUGUGUGACCCUAUUUGACUUUGUUUUUGCCAUCAUUUUUUGAGUUUAAGCUACAAAUGGAUUGUAAAAAAAGUUUUUUUGGUCAUAAUUGAGACGUAUCAUGCCAAAUAAAAUCCUUAAGCCUAUGGCCCUCACAAAAUUAGUUAGCCUUUAAUAAAAAUUUAAGGUGUGUCAUAUUAAAUAACACCAAUAGUUUAUGGCCCUCAAAAGUUUAGUUCGAACAUCCUUUAAAAUUAGAAUUUUGAGAUGUGCACGUUAGUUGAAUUUUCAUGGCCCUCGCAAAAUUGAAAGUGCAUAGUUGCUUUAGGAGCGCUAUUUUAAAAAAAAAUUACUUUGCUAAACUCGGCUGUGUAUUUCAUGUGACCCAAAUCCAAAUCUCAACAGCGUUAAAUAAAACGUGUUUAUGGGUGCAUUUCGUGUGGCGUGGUUCAAAGACGCAUUUUAGAUAACGUUGAAUCUUCUUAAAAUUAAUUAAAAACGGCAAAUAAGUUUAAAAUAUACCAUAUGCUAAAACAUAUAUUAAAAUC
rnacentral:lncRNA from 1 species